UGCGGUUAAAAAGCUCGUAGUUGGAGUUCUGCCAGGUGCCGCCUGUCCGCCCCAGUGGUGAGUACGUGGCGCGCAUUUGGCCCUUUCAAGGGGAGCGUAUUGCACUUAACUGUGUGGUGCGGGAUCCUUGACUUUUACUUUGAGGAAAUAAGAGUGUUCCAAGCAGGCUCUCGUCGUGCAUAGCUCAGCAUGGAAUAAUAGCAUUGGAUCUCGAUUCCAAACUGUUGGUUGUAGGAAACGAGAUAAUGAUGAAGAGGGAUAGUUGGGGGCAUUCGUAUUUAACUGUCAGAGGUGAAAUUCUUGGAUUUGUUAAAGACGAACUACUGCGAAAGCAUCUGCCAUGGAUGUUUUCAUUGAUCAAGAACGAAAGUUAGGGGAUCGAAGACGAUCAGAUACCGUCCUAGUCUUAACUAUAAACCAUGCCGGCUAGAGAUCGGAGGUUGUUCGUUUUGUGACGCCUUCAGCAUCUUGAGAGAAAUCAAAGCCUUUGGGUUCCGGGGGGAGUAUGGUCGCAAGGCUGAAACUUAAAGGAAUUGACGGAAGGGCACCACCAGGAGUGGAGCCUGCGGCUUAAUUUGACUCAACACGGGGAAACUCACCAGGUCCAGACUGGGUAAGGAUGUACAGAUUGACAGCU
rnacentral:rRNA from 1 species